ACAUCCAUUAUUUAGGUCCAUAUGGAAUUGGAGAACUAGCUACAGUGAAGAAUGUGAAGAAUGUGAACGGCGCAACGUCGCCCAAGGCAUGAGACAAUUCGAGGGGUAGGUUAUGAAUUUGUGCAAAACAAACUCGGAAAAUGAAAUAUAACUUCUACACCAAUGGAUACCAAGAAGCACUUCCCUAGCUGCUUUUGGAACCCACAAGACUGCACAUUGCCGAACCACUAAACAUCAUUCUGAACCUACCGGUCAGCAUGAUCAGAGUUGAUCAAGGGGAUAGAAUGAAGAAUCUCCGAGCCUGGUCUGAAGCAUGACCUGGAGAAUACAACAUCGGGCACUCUCAACUCGACUAUCCUAUUUUUUGUAUUCAUAUAUUAUUGUAACCACUGUUUUCACUCGCUUUUGUCUACGACGAAAGUGGACGCCGUUCAAAACGGCGCGUGAAAGAACACGGCGUCAAGUACCUGAACACGGUGGAUGAGCAUCUCCGUACAAUCAGUCAUCUCACCCCAGCUGAUAGAUUCCAUAUGAAAGCUGUUAUUUCAAGGGAAUCGCUUCUCCCGCUUCCUGAAUGAACCACCUCAAUACGGUGUUUCAUUUGCUGGGGUACUGCCUGCCUGCCCGUUUGGAAGCAAUCCACCUUCGUCUCCUCUUGACCAGUACUCUCGCAGUAGCUCCAACUGACACUACCCAGUUUUCAUAAUAUCCUCUUCUGACGUUCGUCUAGUUAAGCGUACCGAACUUUUCUGCAAUUCCUUCCAAGUACUGUGUCCUUUAGCGUAGAGAGUCAGAGACUGCUUAGUUUGGGUGGAUUGAUGUGGCUGGUUUCCCUUGGGUUGCUACAAAUAUGGAAUGAGAAGCAGUUAGAAUGCAAAUGGUUGUCUUGACUCUUGACAAGGUGUUUACGUUUCGUGGCGUUGUUGGUGAUCAGAGCUGGACCUGUAAGCUCCAGCAAUGUCGAAUUCGAGCGGCGCUAGGCACCAUUGGCGAAGGUCCCUUCAAGUCUUGCAUGCGACUUUGCGCUUCACAGUUGCGGGUGUGGACGCUCGUAGAGCCAGAGAUAGAGCCAUGAACGCAGCUUUUGCUUGGCGCCCGCAGGAUGCCCACAAUCGAAUUUACCGACGCGACCAUGUGUGGCCUGCCAUUCCAGAGGAUCCUGUCUUGGCCGGCUUGGAAAAUGACAUACAGGAUCCACAGUUCCUUCAGAUGCUCCCCCCUAUCCCUGGCGCUAAUCUCUUUGAUAAUGGUGAGGAUCAAAUGGCGAGAGAUAUGUGAGUGCAGGAGUCUUACUCACUCGGAGUCAUGCUUUGCUGUUCUAAUUGAACUCAACAGAAGCCCGAAUUUUUGGUUUGAAGGAUGCGGAGUUUGUAAGUCUCGUUUCGUGGCCGCAUCGGUUGUGGAAUGCAGCAACCCUCAUCCAAUCUGCAUUUCGUGGAAGCACGAAAGCCAACCCUUCUCUCUCUCCCGCACACUCUCAUAGUUUUGAGUGUUUUUUGAUGUUGGAAUCUUUUUUUCUGAUGACAAGCUGUUCUCAGGAGCUACUGUAGAAUUGUAAAUAAUCUCCAAGUCGUGGUAGCUCAGUGAUUACUGCGACGGGAAGUAUAAUUUAAGAGCUAACGUAGUACCGAUAGUCAUUAGCCUCGCAAGUUUUUCCUUCGACACUCCUAGCCAAAUCCUCAUCUAGAUAGUGGACAAGCAGAUUUGACCCAGAGGAUUCUAGCCUACUUAUCCUCACGUGUUAGCUGAUUCUCUGUACCUGCAUAAGCUGGUCAGAAUUGUACCUUUGCCUUCUGUGUGUGAAAGUAUAUGUGCUGGUUUUGAUCCCAAAGAAAUUCUAGGUACCAAAAGUGGCACAACUUGCGUAUUCCAGCUA